UGAGUGGCGGACGGGUGAGUAACGCGUGGGCAACCUGGCCUGUACAGGGGGAUAACACUUAGAAAUAGGUGCUAAUACCGCAUAACGGGAGAAGCCGCAUGGCUUUUUCCUGAAAACUCCGGUGGUACAGGAUGGGCCCGCGUCUGAUUAGCUGGUUGGCGGGGUAACGGCCCACCAAGGCGACGAUCAGUAGCCGGCCUGAGAGGGUGAACGGCCACAUUGGGACUGAGACACGGCCCAAACUCCUACGGGAGGCAGCAG
rnacentral:rRNA from 1 species